CGGACGGGUGAGUAAUGUCUGGGUAACUGCCCGAUGGAGGGGGAUAACUACUGGAAACGGUAGCUAAUACCGCAUAACGUCGCAAGACCAAAGAGGGGGACCUUAGGGCCUCUUGCCAUCGGAUGUGCCCAGAUGGGAUUAGCUAGUAGGUGGGGUAAUGGCUCACCUAGGCGACGAUCCCUAGCUGGUCUGAGAGGAUGACCAGCCACACUGGAACUGAGACACGGUCCAG
rnacentral:rRNA from 1 species